rnacentral:tRNA from 1 species
GUUAUUUUGGCAGAAUAGUGCAAUAGAUUUAGAAUCUUUGAAUGUAAUAGUUUAUUACAGAUAACA